ensembl:lncRNA
CUAUCUUUCAUGUAUCUUGAAGCUCAUUCAACCAAAUUUUAGUAUUCAUUUUUUAUAUGGACAGAUUACUAGUUGUCUCUAUCCCUUCCUCCCCUUCUGUCCCUUCUUUGUCUGGAGCACUGUAGAAACUCAACAAAUCCUGUUGAUACUUGACAGUUCAACCCCACACGGCUACAGAUAGCUUGCCCGUUUCCAGUGCUCUGCUGCCUAACCACAGCUUUGGCUUUAAAUACUCCUGAGGCUUCAAGUGGGUAAGAAUCAGACUCAUCUAUACCAGCAUGAUUUUACUCAGAGUACCAGAGAGAAGAGAGCAUGCGGAACUAGCCAGACGACACAGCUGGAAAAUCCAACAGGCAGGCAUUAGUCUACUCUCAACAUCACACUUGGAAGGAGGGAAUCCCUCAGGCCCACACAAGAAUGGCCUGGGAGAGCAGGUCAGACCUGUAAGUCACUCUGAACUUGACCAAGGGGAUCAGAAAAUGGGCCGUUUUCCCAGCCCAGUGGGCUUUCCUACCUCCGAAGCUCUAGAAUAGUGAACCACAGGAGACUCCAGAAUAUACUUUUAAAGUCAAUGAAGAUGCUGGGAUGUUCUUACUCAGCUGAAGAUCUUGUUUCCUCCCCCAGCCUUCCAUGCACCUCCUCCUUGUUGGGACUAGGGAGUGACAUCAGAAUUGCAGCUAGUGAUGUCACUGUCUCUAUAGCAACCAUGUGAGGCUGCCUAAGAUUGAGUACUCAUAAAGGAUAAGAGGAGGGGUGGAAAUAAAUAUACUUUAUGGCUCUGACAUUUACUUAGAAGGACUGGCCUUGCUUUUCCCUAUUUCUUCUGAGUGUUUGAGUGAGGUGGGAGAGUAUGGGAGGGGAAAACUUUCCCAUUGGAUUUCAUUUGAAACAGCAGAGUAUUAUCAACACAUCUGGCCUGGCUUUCAUGCCAAUGGAUUCCAUUCAAACGGCAGAGUAUUACCAACAAACUCAGAUGGCAGCAUAGGACAGGAUCCUGUUUCACACUGGCUCAUCUGGAAAUAGAUGGCCUGAAUUAACUGUGGCGUUUCGUCUCUCUCGCUGCUGCUGCUGACUUUGUCACAGGCAUGAGCCACCACGUCAGGCACAAAAGUAGUCUAACCAAGGAACAAAGUUCCAGUGGAGGUGGGGAAACAGCAUAUCCACCCCCACUCCCCAACCAAAACCAACAAAAACCCCAAACCAAAUACAAAGCCAACAAAAACUGCUACCAUUCAAAAGCAGCUGGGUAUUGGUUUCAAUCCUCC